UACGUAGGGUGCGAGCGUUAAUCGGAUUUACUGGGCGUAAAGCGUGCGCAGGCGGCCCGUUAAGACAGGUGUGAAAUCCCUGGGCUCAACCUAGGAAUUGCGCUUGUGACUGGCGGGCUCGAGUACGGUAGAGGGGGGUGGAAUUCCUGGUGUAGCAGUGAAAUGCGUAGAGAGCAGGAGGAACACCGAUGGCGAAGGCAGCCCCCUGGGCCUGUACUGACGCUCAUGCACGAAAGCGUGGGGAGCAAACAGG
rnacentral:rRNA from 1 species